GACGAACGCUGGCGGCGUGCUUAACACAUGCAAGUCGAACGGAAAGGCCCUGCUUUUGUGUGGUGCUCGAGUGGCGAACGGGUGAGUAACACGUGAGUAACCUGCCCUUGACUUUGGGAUAACUUCAGGAAACUGGGGCUAAUACCGGAUAGGAGCUCCUGCUGCAUGGUGGGGGUUGGAAAGUUUCGGCGGUUGGGGAUGGACUCGCGGCUUAUCAGCUUGUUGGUGGGGUAGUGGCUUACCAAGGCUUUGACGGGUAGCCGGCCUGAGAGGGUGACCGGCCACAUUGGGACUGAGAUACGGCCCAGACUCCUACGGGAGGCAGCAGUGUGGAAUAUUGCACAAUGGGCGGAAGCCUGAUGCAGCAACGCCGCGUGCGGGAUGACGGCCUUCGGGUUGUAAACCGUUUUCGCCUGUGACGAAGCGUGAGUGACGGUAAUGGGUAAAGAAGCACCGGCUAACUACGUG
rnacentral:rRNA from 1 species